rnacentral:lncRNA from 1 species
CUACGAUAGUAGAGGGGCAUUAUGUUUUCUGGUCUGUGGCUCCGUUCGUUCGUUCGUCCGUCCGUCUGUGCGUCCGUCCGUCCGUUCAGGUUAAAGUUUUUGGUCAAGGUAGUUUUUGAUGAAGCUGAAGUCCAAUCAACUUGAAACUUAGUACACUUGUUGCUUAUGAUAUGAUCUUUCUAAUUUUAAAGCCAAAUUAGACUUUUGACCUCAAUUUCACGUUUUCAGGUUAAAGUUUUUGGUCAAGGUAGUUUUUGAUGAAGCUGAAGUCCAAUCAACUUGAAACUUAAUACACUUGUUGCUUAUGAUAUGAUCUUUAUAAUUUUAAAGCCAAAUUAGACUUCUGACCCCAAUUUCACGGUCCACUGAACAUAGAAAAUGAAAGUGGGAAUUUCAGGUUAAAGUUUUUGGUCAAGAUAGUUUUUGAUAAAAUUGAAGUCCAAUCAACUUGAAACUUAGUACAUAUGUUCCCUAUAGUAUAAUCUUUCUUAUUUUAAUGCCAAAUUAGAUUAUUACCCAAUUUCACGGUCUAUGGAACAUGGAAAAGGAUAGUGCGAGUGGGGCAUCCGUGUACUUUGGACACAUUCUUGUUUUUUUCAAAAUU